rnacentral:rRNA from 1 species
GUGGGGAAUAUUGGACAAUGGGGGGAACCCUGAUCCAGCCAUGCCGCGUGUGUGAAGAAGGCCUUUGGUUGUAAAGCACUUUAAGCGAGGAGGAGGCUACCGAGAUUAAUACUCUUGGAUAGUGGACGUUACUCGCAGAAUAAGCACCGGCUAACUCUGUGCCAGCAGCCGCGGUAAUACAGAGGGUGCAAGCGUUAAUCGGAUUUACUGGGCGUAAAGCGCGCGUAGGUGGCCAAUUAAGUCAAAUGUGAAAUCCCCGAGCUUAACUUGGGAAUUGCAUUCGAUACUGGUUGGCUAGAGUAUGGGAGAGGAUGGUAGAAUUCCAGGUGUAGCGGUGAAAUGCGUAGAGAUCUGGAGGAAUACCGAUGGCGAAGGCAGCCAUCUGGCCUAAUACUGACACUGAGGUGCGAAAGCAUGGGGAGCAAACAGGAUUAGAAACCCCGGUAGUCC